GUAGCUUGCUACUUGCUGACGACCGGCGCACGGGUGCGUAACGCGUAUAGAAUCUACCUUGUACUAGGGGAUAGCCUUUGGAAACGAAGAUUAAUACCCUAUAGUAAGUAUUUAUGGCAUCAUUUAUACUUUAAAGGUUACGGUACAAGAUGACUAUGCGUCCUAUUAGUUUGUUGGUGAGGUAACGGCUCACCAAGACUUCGAUAGGUAGGGGCCCUGAGAGGGGGAUCCCCCACACUGGUACUGAGACACGGACCAGACUCCUACGGGAGGCAGCAGUGAGGAAUAUUGGACAAUGGAGGCAACUCUGAUCCAGCCAUGCCGCGUGCAGGAAGAAUGCCCUAUGGGUUGUAAACUGCUUUUAUGUAGGAAGAAACACUCUCACGUGUGAGAGCUUGACGGUACUACAAGAAUAAGGACCGGCUAACUCCGUGCCAGCAGCCGCGGUAAUACGGAGGGUCCAAGCGUUAUCCGGAAUCAUUGGGUUUAAAGGGUCCGUAGGCGGGUUAUUAAGUCAGAGGUGAAAGUUUGCAGCUCAACUGUAAAAUUGCCUUUGAAACUGGUAGUCUUGAAUUAUUAUGAAGUGGUUAGAAUAAGUAGUGUAGCGGUGAAAUGCAUAGAUAUUACUUAGAAUACCAAUUGCGAAGGCAGAUCACUAAUAAUAUAUUGACGCUGAGGGACGAAAGCGUGGGGAGCGAACAGGAUUAGAUACCCUGGUAGUCCACGCCGUAAACGAUGGAUACUAGCUGUUCGGAUUUAUCUGAGUGGCUAAGCGAAAGUGAUAAGUAUCCCACCUGGGGAGUACGUUCGCAAGAAUGAAACUCAAAGGAAUUGACGGGGGCCC
rnacentral:rRNA from 1 species